rnacentral:rRNA from 1 species
AUUGAACGCUAGCGGGAUGCUUUAUACAUGCAAGUCGAACGAGUGGCGGACGGGUGUGUAAUAUAUCGGAACGUGCCCAGUCGCGGGGGCAAACUAGUCGAAAGAGUGGUUAAUACCGCUAACUUUUGUGGCGGCCGAUCUUGGAGUAGCUAGUUGGUGGGGUAAAGGCUCACCAAGGCAACGAUCCGUAGCUGGUUUGAGAGGACGACCAGCCAAACUGGGGCUGAGACACGGCCCAGACUCCUACGGGAGGCAGCAGUAGGGAAUUUUUGGCAAUGGGGGAAACCCUGAUCCAGCCAUCCCGCGUGUAUGAGAAGGCCUUCGGGUUGUAAAGCACUUUUGGCAGAGAAGCGGUAUCUACAGAAUAAGCACCGGCUAACUACGUGCCAGCAGCCGCGGUAAUAC